rnacentral:lncRNA from 1 species
AUCUUGGGUUAGUAAAAAAAUUGAAACUUGAAAGAUGUACUCACGUAUUCGUUUUCGAAAUUUGGAAUUUUUUUAGCCAAAAUAUCUCAAUGUCCUAUAUUUUAGAAAAUAAAAGAUCCGACACUUAAGAUGCAUAACCGUACCCAAGUCCAAACAUCAUAGGUAACUUGAAUCUACGAAAUUCAUCGUUUUAGAUGAUAAGCCAGGGAAUUAAGUUUUAUGCUAAGAUGUACGGAUUGAAAUGUAGUUUGUGACAUUUUUACAGAUUUACAUUAAUAUCUCCUAUAAAGGAGGAUAGAGAACAGCACCAUAAAUUUAAUGCUCCAUAAACUUAAUGCUGCCAACAAUUUUUUCUUUCCGUUAUGAACUAAACAUAGAUAGAGCGUAUAUUUUGACACACAAAGUUCUCUUAUUGCCACUGACUUCAACAUUUCAGUCGCUUAAUUUUUAGACCCAAAGUUGCUUAGCAGCUUAAGUUUUUGGUAACUUGGCGCUGAAAAUUUCAUAUAUUUACCAUUUGAUAAAUUAUAUAAAUGAAGAAAAGAUAAGUUGGUUCGUUUUGGCUAAUGUAACUCGACAAGUGAAAUGUCAAUGGUGACAACUAAGCUACAGCUAAUCAUUUAUCUUGAUCAGAAGGGAAAAGUUAUAUAAUUGUAAAGCAUUGUUGAAAGGUGUUACAGUUGUAUUAGGUUGGCUAUGCCAAAAUUUCUUUAUUUGUCUAAAACUCAAAUAAAUUUGGUAAUGUCAUGGUACUGUGAUUAAAUUGAUUAUACAUUUUGUCAAAACUGACUUCUACAAGUAAAUAAAUCCGAAUUUUGAUGUCAAGUCUCAAUUUAGCGGCAAAUUUAUACUUAUCGAUCAUUUUAUCAUAACAUUUUAUAUUGUUUUAUAAAGUUGUUAGGAGGUAAAUUUAUAUGCAAUUUCUUGUUUCGACCAUAUAUGGAAAAUUUGUUGGGAUUUCCACAUGUGGAUUAUUACAAUUUAUCUUCCUUACACUUUAGUUUUAGUCAUAUAGUAUAGAUAAAUUUUUAAAGCCAGUUGUAAAGCCAGAUGGGUGAUUGCAAAUGCUAAAUGAAGCCAGUAAAUUAAAUGCCACCAUUAUAUUUAAUGUAUCUCAUUUAGUACAUAUUUUUCACACCAUUGAAAAUUUUCAAUUAGUUCUUAUGGUGUGAAAUAAUUAAAUGAUUAGAAACCUUAUUAACUUGAUCUACUAGUGAAAAUAAACCGUUAGAUGUAAAAUUGUAUUAAUGCAGAAAUUAUAGCAAUAAUGACAUACUGAGAUUUGAAAAUGAUAUAUAUUUUUUUUUCAUAUCUAACACUGUGAAAAGAAAAAGAUCAAUGUCUCCUGUUUAAUAUGUUCUGACAAGUGUCUUUUGAUUUAUUGGCAGUCAUUUGCUGAGGGUGACAAAGGCUCAUCAGCAUUUCAUGGAAAUAUUUGGAUUCAAGUUGGUACCAAUCCAUGUGAUGGGAUUGAUAUAAUUUGGUUGGAAGUUGUAAUUAGCGUGAUGAUACCAUGAAUUAAUAACUCAGAGACGUGACCCUCGUAAUCAGUGUGGUGACACAUUGAAUUAAUAGCUCAAAAUCGUGACCCUCAGAAUUUUGAAGUAUUUGAUUGGGUCCUGGACUAUGGCCCACUGCUAUUGGUAUGUACCUUUUGCAAACAAUUAUCAUUUCUCUUGGGUUUCUUAUGUUUAUUCAAUAAAGUAACUGUCUAUUUUUAACUUUAUUAUAACUGCAAAACAGCAUUUUUCAUGUUUGGUAUUUAUUCAACCAAGGUCCAAUUUAUGGCUCUGUUGUGGAGGAAAACUUUGUACAAAAUCUUAUAAUGCAAUUUCACUGGUUUGACCAUAUGUGUGUAAUCUGUCAUGCAAUCCAUGUUUGGAUUAUUACAAUUUAUCUUCCUUACAUUGAUGAUUUAUUUAUAUACUAUAGAUGAAAUUGCAAAGCCUGAUGGGUGAUUGCAAUUGCUUUCUUAUCUUCGUAUUUUAACUUUAUUAUAACUGCAAAACAGCAUUUUUCAUGUUUGGUAUUUAUUCAACCAAGGUCCAAUUUAUGGCUCUGUUGUGGAGGAAAACUUUAUACAAAAUCUUAUAAUGCAAUUUCACUGGUUUGACCAUAUGUGUGUAAUCUGUCAUGCAAUCCAUGUUUGGAUUAUUACAAUUUAUCUUCCUUACAUUGAUGAUUUAUUUAUAUACUAUAGAUGAAAUUGCAAAGCCUGAUGGGUGAUUGCAAUUGCUUUCUUAUCUUCGAAGCCAGUAAAUUAAAUGCCACCAUUAUAUUUAAUGUUUCUCAUUUAUUACAGUUUGAUAUAAUCCACACCGUUGACAAUUUACUAGUUCUAGCGCAUGUCUGAUAAGUAAUUAUAAGAUGUGGGCCCUUGGGAUAAAAAUAAUGUUUGACCAAAAGUGAUUAAAUUAUAAUCACUUCCCAAACAUGCAGUAUCCACGAACAUUUUACAAUUGAUCCGUGAAAAUAAAGUAUUUCUCUGAACUUUACUAAUGCAGAAUUAACACUAGGGUCGUUGCUAUGAGAUCUGAAUUGAACUGAUUUAAAUUGAAAUCUUCAUGAAAAAAUAUCGAUCUCCCCUGUUUUAUCUGUUCUGAAAAGUAUCUUUUGAUAUGAAAGCCAUAAUUGCUUGAUAUUUAUGAGAGAGUAAUUGUUUGCUGUGAUUUGCAGUGAGUGGAUGAUAUCUGGAGGAAUGAAGGUGGUAAUUACCGAUCUUAUAUUUUUGAGAAUGGUAGCCUGUAAAGUCAAAAUCAAUGAGAUGG